UUGGAGGGCAAGUCUGGUGCCCGCAGCCGCGGUAAUUCCAGCUCCAAUAGCGUUUAUUAAAGUUGUUGCAGUUAAAAAGCUCGUAGUUGAAUUUCGGGACCAAUUUGUUGGUCGUGCCUCGGUACGUACUGGUAUUAUUGGUUUCUACCUUCUGAAGAACCUUGAUGUCAUUAAUUUGGUGUCAUGGGGAAUCAGGACUGUUACUUUGAAAAAAUUAGAGUGUUUAAAGCAAGCAUACGCUUGAAUACAUUAGCCUGGAAUAAUGAAAUAGGAUGUUUGAUUCUAUUUUGUUGGUUUCUAGGAUCGACGUAAUGAUUAAUAGGGAUAGUUGGGGGCAUUAGUAUUCAAUUGUCAGAGGUGAAAUUCUUGGAUUUAUUGAAGACUAACUACUGCGAAAGCAUUUGCCAAGGAUGUUUUCAUUAAUCAAGGACGAAAGUUAGGGGAUCGAAGACGAUCAGAUACCGUCGUAGUCUUAACCAUAAACUAUGCCGACUAGGGAUCGGAUGAUGUUAAUUUUUUAAUGACUCAUUCGGCGCCUUACGGGAAACCAAAGUGUUUGGGUUC
rnacentral:rRNA from 1 species